AUAGGGAACGCAAGAGAUUCUGUCCCGAAAUUGAAAACUCCUGCUGUAUGAGAUAUGCUGGUGAUUAAGAUGGAUGUUCGUGAAGAUUCUCAGUCAUCAUGUUAUUUCUACAUGCUGUACAAAGUCACCAGGACUUGUUUUAGGUUCUUGAAGAUAUUUUGUCGCUUAUCCAAAAGGUUACCUCAGUAAAUGAUAGCUGGGAAUUUUCAAGCAUUUUACCUUGUAGGGUUGUUAACACCUUCACAGUUGUUGAGGUCAUAGUCUGUGGUUUGGUCCAGCCCUACGUAAAGUCUCCGACAUUCAGAUUUUGGACUGUCAUCCACCAUCAAUUAUUGUGUAGUUCUAGUGAGGAACUGAGGUCUGUUUGCUCCUGUCUACAUCUUUCCUUUAUCCUCCCGUCACCUCUCUCAGCACACUGUGUUGUGUUAGCAGCAGGUGGGGACUAUUUCCAGGUACUCUGCCAAGAAUUACAGGGGUCCACUGAGGAUUUAGUGAGCUCAUGAGACAUGAGAUCCUGUCAGUGGAUCCAUAUUGGGCUUUAACUACAUGGGUCAGCUCAUGUAGCUCAGGAGAUAUACUGCUUCAUUUCCAGCUGCAGGGAGCUUUCUUGGGGCUUUUCCAGGAGGGUGUGACUUCCUGCAAGACAGAAUGGAUGAAAGCACUUGUUUGGAUGUACUGAUCGUGGCUGAGACCUACAGGUUGAUUCAGCUGGGGCUCUGCUGCACAAAAAGUCAAGGAUGUCCACUGCCCCCUCCAGGACAGGCUGUUGAGAAGGACUCAUUGUGCAUAGAGAAUAAGGAUUUACUGGCAGUAGAAAGUGAGGACGUUCUGCUGGUUUCCUCGUAUCAGCACCGCGGGGCAGUGGAGGCCGCAGGUCAGAGUAUCCAGCCAGGCCAUGUACAGAGCACUGGGGCAGUCACUCUGCGGCACAGGAAGACUCCUGGGGAAAAAAAACAUCAAAUUUACAUGAACACAACAAAACAUUAGUGUGCUUUUCAAGUUUGGUGAAGAAAUUCUUUGCUGGUCUGCACGUAGUCCUGACCUCAAACCCAUCCUACACCUUUUGGGGUAAAACUGGAACAGCAAUGGUGAGGCAGGUCUUAUCACCCACCAUCUACGCCUGACUUUGCAGGAGUACGGGAAUGGGAGAAAUAUCUAAAAAUCUCAAACAAAACUGACUGACUGAUCAGAUACAAUACUUUUGUUUAAUGGCAUGUACAUUAAAUAUACUCUAUUGGCAAAAAAUCUAA